rnacentral:rRNA from 1 species
AUUGAACGCUGGCGGCAUGCCUUACACAUGCAAGUCGAACGGCAGCACGGGUGCUUGCACCUGGUGGCGAGUGGCGAACGGGUGAGUAAUACAUCGGAACGUACCUUAUCGUGGGGGAUAACGCAGCGAAAGCUGUGCUAAUACCGCAUACGCCCUGAGGGGGAAAGCGGGGGAUCGAGAGACCUCGCGCGAUUAGAGCGGCCGAUGCCUGAUUAGCUUGUUGGUGGGGUAAAAGCCCACCAAGGCGACGAUCAGUAGCUGGUCUGAGAGGACGAUCAGCCACGCUGGGACUGAGACACGGCCCAGGCUCCUACGGGAGGCAGCAGUGGGGAAUUUUGGACAAUGGGGGCAACCCUGAUCCAGCAAUGCCGCGUGAGUGAAGAAGGCCUUCGGGUUGUAAAGCUCUUUUGUCAGGGAAGAAACACCGGCUCUAACACAGUCCGGGAAUGACGGUACCUGAAGAAUAAGCACCGGCUAACUACGUGCCAGCAGCCGCCGUAA